rnacentral:rRNA from 1 species
UUGAACGCUGGCGGCAUGCCUUACACAUGCAAGUCGAACGGUAACGCGGGGCAACCUGGCGACGAGUGGCGAACGGGUGAGUAAUAUAUCGGAACGUGCCCAGUAGUGGGGGAUAGCCCGGCGAAAGCCGGAUUAAUACCGCAUACGACCUACGGGUGAAAGGGGGGGAUCGCAAGACCUCUCGCUAUUGGAGCGGCCGAUAUCAGAUUAGGUAGUUGGUGGGGUAAAAGCCUACCAAGCCGACGAUCUGUAGCUGGUCUGAGAGGACGACCAGCCACACUGGGACUGAGACACGGCCCAGACUCCUACGGGAGGCAGCAGUGGGGAAUUUUGGACAAUGGGCGCAAGCCUGAUCCAGCCAUGCCGCGUGCGGGAAGAAGGCCUUCGGGUUGUAAACCGCUUUUGUCAGGGAAGAAAAGUUCUGGGUUAAUACCCUGGGGCGAUGACGGUACCUGAAGAAUAAGCACCGGCUAACUACGU